rnacentral:rRNA from 1 species
UACGUAGGAUGCAAGCGUUGUCCGGAAUUACUGGGCGUAAAGCGCACGCAGGCGGUUCGCCAAGUUUGGAGUGGCAGUUGUCGGCUCAACCGACAAAGGACUUCAAAAACUGGUGAACUUGAGGACGAGAGAGGAACAUGGAACUCCAGGUGUAGUAGUGAAAUGCGUAGAUAUCUGGAAGAACACCAAUGGCGAAGGCAAUGUUCUGGCUCGUUUCUGACGCUCAGGUGCGAAAGCCAGGGGAGCGAACGGG